UGAACGGCUGGCGGCGUGCUUAACACAUGCAAGUCGAACGAAGCUCCUUGAACUGAAGAUUCGUCUGAUGGGAUAGGAAGACUUAGUGGCGGACGGGUGAGUAACGCGUGGGUAACCUGCCGUAUACAGGGGGAUAACAGUUAGAAAUGACUGCUAAUACCGCAUAAGCGCACAGUGAGGCAUCUCACAGUGUGAAAAACUCCGGUGGUAUACGAUGGACCCACGUCUGAUUAGCCAGUUGGCAGGGUAACGGCCUACCAAAGCGACGAUCAGUAGCCGGCCUGAGAGGGUGAACGGCCACAUUGGGACUGAGACACGGCCCAAACUCCUACGGGAGGCAGCAGUGGGGAAUAUUGCACAAUGGGGGAAACCCUGAUGCAGCGACGCCGCGUGAGUGAAGAAGCAUUUCGGUGCGUAAAGCUCUAUCAGCAGGGAAGAAAAUGACGGUACCUGACUAAGAAGCCCCGGCUAACUACGUGCCAGCCGCGGC
rnacentral:rRNA from 1 species